AAAACUUUCAACAACGGAUCUCUUGGUUCUGGCAUCGAUGAAGAACGCAGCGAAAUGCGAUAAGUAAUGUGAAUUGCAGAAUUCAGUGAAUCAUCGAAUCUUUGAACGCACAUUGCGCCCCUCGGUAUUCCGGGGGGCAUGUCUGUUCGAGCGUCAUUA
rnacentral:rRNA from 1 species